rnacentral:rRNA from 1 species
UUCUAAGGGCGUUGAAGCAUGAUCGUAAGGACAUGUGGAGCGCUUAGAAGUGAGAAUGCCGGUGUGAGUAGCGAAAGACGGGUGAGAAUCCCGUCCACCGAUUGACUAAGGUUUCCAGAGGAAGGCUCGUCCGCUCUGGGUUAGUCGGGUCCUAAGCUGAGGCCGACAGGCGUAGGCGAUGGAUAACAGGUUGAUAUUCCUGUACCACCUAUAAUCGUUUUAAUCGAUGGGGGGACGCAGUAGGAUAGGCGAAGCGUGCGAUUGGAUUGCACGUCUAAGCAGUAAGGCUGAGUAUUAGGCAAAUCCGGUACUCGUUAAGGCUGAGCUGUGAUGGGGAGAAGACAUUGUGUCUUCGAGUCGUUGAUUUCACACUGCCGAGAAAAGCCUCUAGAUAGAAAAUAGGUGCCCGUACCGCAAACCGACACAGGUAGUCAAGAUGAGAAUUCUAAGGUGAGCGAGCGAACUCUCGUUAAGGAACUCGGCAAAAUGACCCCGUAACUUCGGGAGAAGGGGUGCUCUUUAGGGUUAACGCCCAGAAGAGCCGCAGUGAAUAGGCCCAAGCGACUGUUUAUCAAAAACACAGGUCUCUGCUAAACCGUAAGGUGAUGUAUAGGGGCUGACGCCUGCCCGGUGCUGGAAGGUUAAGAGGAGUGGUUAGCUUCUGCGAAGCUACGAAUCGAAGCCCCAGUAAACGGCGGCCGUAACUAUAACG